ensembl:lncRNA
UUAACACGACCUGUUUACUGAGGGGAUUAACACAACCUGUUUACUGAGGGAUUAACAACCUGUUUACUGAGGGAUUAACACAACCUGGUUACUGAGGGAUUAACACUGAGGGUAACAACUUCAGGAUUCAGAAAAAUAAAACACAAAUGCCGUUGUUCUGUUUGUCGUUUAAUCAUUGUUUAUCAAAGAUUCUAUAAAAAUGAAACAAUGAAAAAGUCAAGAAGCAUGUUUGUUAUCUUUCUAAGUGGAGUUAAAAGUAAACAAUAUACAUUUGAGGCUACAUGUAAUACGACAAUACGAAACAACUGGUACAAAAAUCUCCUUCAUGAUCCAAUAUCUACAGUGAGUUGAGUAUCUUGAUCUGAUGGUGUGUGUGUGUGUGUGGGGGGUGUGUGUGUGUGGGUAUCCUGAUGAAGACCAAUCAUCAGCAAAGUGGGUGGAGGGUUUAUGGUUUUGAUACACAUAAAGUGACACUUUACAUCCAGGUAACCAGAUAGGCGGGUAACCAGACAGGCAGGUAACCAGACAGGCAGGUCAGACAGGUAGGUAACCAGACAGGCAGGUAACCAAACAGGUAGGUAACCAGACAGGCAGGUAACCAGACAGCCAGGUAACCAGACAGCCAGGUAACCAGACAGGCAGGUAACCAGACAUCCAGGUAACCAGACAGGUAGGUCACCAGACAGGCAGGUAACCAGACAGGCAGGUAACCAGACAGCCAGGUAACCAGACAGGCAGGUAACCAGACAGGCAGGUAACCAGACAGGCAGGUAACCAGACAGGCAGGUAACCAGACAGGCAGGUCACCAGACAGGCAGGUCACCAGACAGGUAGGUCACCAGACAGGCAGGUAACCAGACAGGCAGGUAACCAGACAGGCAGGUAACCAGACAGGCAGGUAACCAGACAUCCAGGUAACCAGACAGGUAGGUCACCAGACAGGCAGGUAACCAGACAGGCAGGUAACCAGACAGGCAGGUAACCAGACAGGCAGGUCACCAGACAGGCAGGUCACCAGACAGGCAGGUCACCAGACAGGCAGGUAACCAGACAGGCAGGUAACCAGACAGGCAGGUCACCAGACAGGCAGGUAACCAGACAGGCAGGUAACCAGACAGGCAGGUAACCAGACAGGCAGGUAACCAGACAGGCAGGUAACCAGACAGGUAGGUAACCAGACAGGUAGGUAACCAGACAGGCAGGUAACCAGACAGGCAGGUAACCAGACAGGCAGGUAACCCGUUAUUGCUGUAUAUCUACAACAAAACAUAUCAUAGACAAAUAUACUGAAUCGUGUCAAAAUAAAAUUACCAAUCAUAAUUUGGUUUACUUUUCGCUCAGCCAAAUCUAUCUUCUAAACAGCACCCUGUACCCCAUUCCCAAACAGCACCCUGUUCCUCAGUCCCAAACAGCACCCUGUUCCCCAUUCCCAAACAGCACCCUGUUCCCCAUUCCCAAACAGCACCCUGUUCCUCAGUCCCAAACAGCACCCUGUUCCCCAUUCCCAAACAGCACCCUGUUCCCCAUUCCCAAACAGCACCCUGUUCCUCAGUCCCAAACAGCACCCUGUUCCCCAUUCCCAAACAGCACCCUGUUCCCCAUUCCCAAACAGCACCCUGUUCCCCAUUCCCAAACAGCACCCUGUUCCUCAGUCCCAAACUGCACCCUGUACCCCAGUCCCAAACAGCACCCUGUUCCCCAGUCCCAAACAGCACCCUGUUCCUCAGUCCCAAACUGCACCCUGUACCCCAGUCCCAAACAGCACCCUGUUCCCCAGUCCCAAAC